ACAGUGCACUUGGUAACCCUACUCUCCUCUACCUCUAAUCCUCCUAGUCCCUUACCUUGGGUCCUCCUGGACACCUCAAACCCACAGUCCCGCCCCCCACAUAUAUCCCAGUCCUCAUUCACACGCUGAGCCAGUCCCUUGAGGCCCCCACUGCCCACCAAACUUCUCCAUCCAUGAGGCCCGGGAAGCAGGGGCAUGCUCCCAAUUUGGCUGGGCUUAGUGUGUGUGUGUGUGCUGGGCUCACAAAGGCAUUUUGCUCCCUUGGGGUGGGGUGUGGUGUGGCUUUUGGCACAAGGUGACAUGGCUUGGUAGCCCUGUGGAUGCCAUGUGGUGUCUGGAAUGGGGAGAGUGUGUUCCCAUGAUGCCCCUUCCCCUCUGCCUGCAGAGCUGAGGAAAGACAGGUCUGAGGAGCAGAGCAGAAGCUCUGGGAAGGAGAAGAGCAAUAUGAAGAUGGAGUCUAAGAUGACACCAGGUGACUUCUGUGGAGGGAGACAUGCUGGACAGCGCCAAGGACUCGGGAGACAACAGUUAUGACAGACGCACUGAGCACCUUUCCCCGACGUGAAGAAGACCCUGUGUGGCUCCAAAGCUGGUCGAGUAACAGGUAUCACCUCACUUGCCUUGUCUCCCUGUCUUCCAUUCUGCAAGUGUCCAACUUCCCCUUCGCUGCUGCUCUCCACCCCCCCCAGGCAACACCCCCAGGUCCCUUCACCUGCCAAACCUCCCCUGGACCCUGAGCCCGACCCCAACCCUGGGGGGGCUCCCCACCUGCAAACCCUAUGGAGCCUGGGGGGG